rnacentral:rRNA from 1 species
UACGAAGGUCCCAAGCGUUAUCCGGAUUUAUUGGGUUUAAAGGUGGCGUAGGCGGUUGAUUAAGGUCAGUGGUGAAAGACCUACAGCUUAACUGUAGAAUUGCCAUUGAUACUGAUGAUCUUGAGUAUGAUUGAGGUGGGCGGAAUGUGUCAUGUAGCGGUGAAAUGCUUAGAUAUGACACAGAACACCGAUUGCGAAGGCAGCUCACUAAGCCAUAACUGACGCUGAUGCACGAAAGCGUGGGGAGCAAACAGG